UUAAGUAUAGUAAGGGCGCAUGGUGGAUGCCUCGGCAUGGGCAGGCGAUGAAGGGCGUGGCAAGCUGCGAUAAGCCGCGGGGAGCCGCAAGCAGGCUGUGAUCCGCGGAUUCCCGAAUGGGGCAACCCGGCCGGUUGAAGACCGGUCAUCCACGAGCUGAAUCCAUAGGUUCGUGGAGGCGAACCCGGGGAACUGAAACAUCUCAGUACCCGGAGGAAAAGAAAGCAACCGCGAUUCCCUGAGUAGUGGCGAGCGAAAGGGGAACAGCCCAAACCGGCGUCGUUUCGGCGGCGUCGGGGUUGUAGGGCCCGCCAUAAGGGGUCGGAAGGUGAAGUCGAAGCGCGCUGGAAAGCCGCACCAUAGAGGGUGAUAGUCCCGUAGGCGUAAGCUGACCGAUCUCGGCGGUGUCCCUGAGUACCACGGGACCGGGGAAAUCCUGUGGGAAGCUGCCAGCACCAUCUGGCAAGGCUAAAUACUCGCCCAUGACCGAUAGCGCACCAGUACCGUGAGGGAAAGGUGAAAAGAACGCCUAGUAGGCGAGUGAAAAGGACCUGAAACCAUGCGCCUACAACCAGUCGGAGCCUCUCUGUUCCUUGUGAACAGAUGGGGUGACGGCGUGCCUUUUGCAGAAUGAGCCUACGAGUUGCUCCUCUCUGGCAAGGCUAAGUGCUUCAGGCACGGAGCCGCAGCGAAAGCGAGUCCGAACAGGGCGAUCCAGUCAGAGGGGGCAGACGCGAAACCGGGUGAGCUACCCUUGGCCAGGUUGAAGCGUGGGUAAGACCACGUGGAGGACCGAACCGGUUGGCGUUGAAAAGCCAUCGGAUGAGCUGAGGGUAGGGGUGAAAGGCCAACCAAACCCGGAGAUAGCUCGUACUCCCCGAAAUGCAUAGAGGUGCAGCGUCGCAGCCGAGUGUGCGGGAGGUAGAGCACUGAUUGGGCUAGGGCCCUUCGCCGGGUACCAAACCCAGACAAACUCCGAAUGCCCGCACAUGCUCUGCGGCAGUGAGGGCGUGGGCGAUAAGGUCCAUGUCCGAGAGGGAGACAACCCAGACCGACAGCUAAGGCCCCCAAGUCCAGGCUAAGUUGAUCAAAGGAGGUCGGGCUGCUGAGACAACCAGGAGGUUGGCUUAGAAGCAGCCAUCCCUUUAAAGAGUGCGUAACAGCUCACUGGUCGAGCGGCCCGGCGCCGAAAAUUGUCGGGCAUCAAGCCUGGCGCCGAAGCUUCGGGUUUGCAGCCUCGUGCUGCAAGCGGUAGGGGAGCAUUCCAGUUGCGCUGAAGUCGCCUCGUGAGGGGCGGUGGAGCGACUGGAAAAGAAAAUGUAGGCAUAAGUAACGAGAAGACGGGUGAAAAACCCGUCCGCCGUAAGCCCAAGGGUUCCUGCUCAACGUUAAUCGGAGCAGGGUUAGCCGGGACCUAAGCCGAGGCCGAAAGGCGUAGGCGAUGGACAACGGGUUAAUAUUCCCGUGCCACCCUAAGGCGCUAACCUGAGGCGUGACGCAGAAGCGUAAGGUCCGCGCCCUGACGGAAUAGGGCGUUGAAGCCCGUAGGCUGGGUGGUAGGCAAAUCCGCCACCCACUAAGGCCGAAAGGCGACAGUAGGGGGACCCGCAAGGGAAACCCAUAGAGGCCCCAAGCACGCUGCCAAGAAAAGCGUCGCAGGUUGUCUUAGGGUGCCCGUACCGGAAACCGACACAGGUGGGCGAGGCGAGCAUCCUCAGGCGCUCGAGUGAUCCGUGGCUAAGGAACUCGGCAAAUUGGCCCCGUAACUUCGGGAGAAGGGGCGCCUCCUCCCAUCCAAAAGCGGGAGGGGGCCGCAGUGACCAGGCCCAAGCGACUGUUUAACAAAAACACAGCUCUCUGCGAACUCGUAAGAGGACGUAUAGGGAGUGACACCUGCCCGGUGCCGGAAGGUUAAGGAAGGGGGUUAGCCGCAAGGCGAAGCUCCCGACCGAAGCCCCGGUAAACGGCGGCCGUAACUAUAACGGUCCUAAGGUAGCCUCUGCUGCCUGCCUACGGGGUAACCCGUAGGGCAAACCCGGCUGUAUGCGGGAACGCCCUGAGAGCCACUUCUACGUUUCUCCUCUCUUGAGGGGCGUAAAAAUGAAGUGGAUUGGGUAACCCGCAGGAAACUCCGCUGCAAGCGGAGGAUCCUCAGAGGCCAUACGCUGGGUAUCCAGUGCCAGAUUGGGCCAAUCGCUUAACCAAACAUACUUUCAUGCAGCUUACGGUCGAUUGGGUGGUCGGUUUUGUCGACGGAGAAGGAUGCUUCCACAUAGGCAUUACCGAACACCCGGAAAUGAAUCUUCGCUAUCAGGUGCUUCCGGAGUUUACGGUCGUCCAGCAUAAGCGCGAUAUCCAAGUGCUGUACGCGCUUAAGCGGUUCUUCGGCUUUGGGGUGGUGCGAAAAAAUCAUGGCGAUCGCUGGGCCUAUCGGGUGCGCAAACUCGAGCACCUGGAAAAGCUCUGCGAAUUCUUCCUGCAUCAUCCCUUAAAAACGCGAAGGAACGUGGACUUCCGAAAAUUUCGGCACGUCGUGCUGCUGAUGAAAGAAAAGCGCCAUCUAACGCGCGAAGGGCUGCUCGAAAUCAUCGACAUCGCCUGUUCGAUGAAUACGGCAGAGCGGCCCCGCUUAGAGGCAAUCAAAGCCCAACUGGUCACUGGAUAAAGAGAUGGUCCACCCUCACUGGAAACAGUGAGAUCCAGGUGAGCGAAAUUCCUUGUCGGGUAAGUUCCGACCU
rnacentral:rRNA from 1 species